rnacentral:rRNA from 1 species
AUUGAACGCUGGCGGCAGGCCUAACACAUGCAAGUCGAGCGGAGCGGCGGACGGGUGAGUACUGCCUAGGAAUCUGCCUGGGAGUGGGGGAUUACGUCCGGAAACGGGCGCUAAUACCGCAUACUAUCAGAUGAGCCUAGGUCGGAUUGGCUAGUUGGGGGGGUAAAGGCCUACCAAGGCGACGAUCCGUAACUGGUCUGAGAGGAUGAUCAGUCCAACGGGAAUGGAGACACGGGCAAGAGUCCUACGGGAGGAAGCAGUGGGGAAUAUUGGAAAAUGGGAGAAAGCCUGAUGCAGCCAUGCCGCGUGUGUGAAGAAGGUUUUCGGGUUGUAAAGUACUGUGAGCGGGGAGGCGUUACCCACAGAAGAAGCACCGGCUAACUCCGUGCCAGCAGCCGCGGUAAUAC